AACAGGAUUAGAUACCCUGGUAGUCCAUGCCGUAAACGAUGAGUGCUAAGUGUUGGAGGGUUUCCGCCCUUCAGUGCUGCAGCUAACGCAUUAAGCACUCCGCCUGGGGAGUACGACCGCAAGGUUGAAACUCAAAGGAAUUGACGGGGGCCCGCACAAGCGGUGGAGCAUGUGGUUUAAUUCGAAGCAACGCGAAGAACCUUACCAGGUCUUGACAUCCUUUGACCACUCUAGAGAUAGAGCUUUCCCUUCGGGGACAAAGUGACAGGUGGUGCAUGGUUGUCGUCAGCUCGUGUCGUGAGAUGUUGGGUUAAGUCCCGCAACGAGCGCAACCCUUAUUAUUAGUUGCCAGCAUUCAGUUGGGCACUCUAGUGAGACUGCCGGUGAUAAACCGGAGGAAGGUGGGGAUGACGUCAAAUCAUCAUGCCCCUUAUGACCUGGGCUACACACGUGCUACAAUGGAUGGUACAACGAGUCGCAAAACCGCGAGGUUAAGCUAAUCUCUUAAAGCCAUUCUCAGUUCGGAUUGUAGGCUGCAAUUCGCCUACAUGAAGCCGGAAUCGCUAGUAAUCGCGGAUCAGAACGCCGCGGUGAAUACGUUCCCGGGCCUUGUACACACCGCCCGUCACACCACGAGAGUUUGUAACACCCAAAGUCGGUGAGGUAACCUUCGGGAGCCAGCCGCCUAAGGUGGGACAGAUAAUUGGGGU
rnacentral:rRNA from 1 species